CUCUUGUGUUCCCAUCUUCUAAUUGAAUAUCGCCAGUCGAAUGCGUCUCCUCCUCGGCUCCUGUGGCACCACCACUCACGAUCCUUAAAACCCGCGGGCGACACCCCUUCACCUCCUCCCCCGUGCAGUAUAGUAUAUUCCAGAAUACUGUGUUUGCUAAGGAAUCGGUGUAUCUCAGAAAUUGGGGGUGUGAACCCAGAUAGCUGGUGUUGUUUCCUAGAAUGGCAGAGCUCGUGGGCGGAGAGGCAGCAUGGCGACGGCGGUUUAGCGGGGCUAGGGAUUUGGAGAAAUGUGGGGAAUAGAUGAGUGGCCGAGGGGGUGACGAGGGAGUGGGGUUAAUGGGUACAGUAGCGGUGUUUGUGGCGCCUAUUUUUUUCGGGAUGAGGCAGGGAAAAUUUUGGCGCCCUAAUCUAAUGUCUUUCGGGUAGCCUUGAAAGUAUAAGUAAUACAGCGCACAAUAACUAACAAAAUCACUUUACUAGUUCAUUGGUAAGACACUAUGUGGCACUCCAUAAGUUCCCAGGUUCGAACCCAUUGGAGACAAAUUUUUUUUCUCUUUUGCAACAUUUUUUUUCUAUUUCUCGAAGCUAAUUUUUUCAUGAUAAUUAAUUAAUUAGUACUAGCUACACAAAUUUUCAAAUAUUCAUGGACACUAUUUUGGUGUAUGAUCAUGACAUAAAAUUUUCAGAGAAUUUUGACAAGGUUGUACUACACAUCUUGUACAACCAUGAACAUCUCUCACGAAGUGACAAGGCUAUAUCUGAGACACAUGUAUCUCAUAGCGAGGAUGUGCAUGAGCACGCAAUGAUAAUUAGUUGAUUCUUUUUUGUCAAUAUUAUACACCAAAGUGAGGCGUCCAUGCAAGUUUGUAGAAUUUUUUAGCUAGACUAGGUUAUUUUAACAUUUAUCUUGCACAAAUCUAACAAAAAAUUAUACAAAUAGGCAA
rnacentral:lncRNA from 1 species